GGCAUCGCUCCUCCACCCCCUUCCGCCGGCGUUCGCUCGCCUUCCUUCGUCAGCGCCGCUUCGGUUUGUCGCGCGCCGCUUUCCUAACGCACGGGCGCGUGAACCAUCUGCAGGAUGAAGGCAGGGCUACGUCCGGCUGGAAGGAUGCACGGCAGCGGGGCGGGGAGCUCGGGGGGAAUGGAACCAAAACAAACCAGGGGCGGAAAAAAAAAAAGCCGCCGCACACCUUAGGAGGGGAGGGGAAGGCAGACCCUAACGGUUGUCAGCGGCUCCGGGUCUGCGCCGUUUCUCUGCCAUAUGGCCCGAUCUCCAACGGGGGAGCCGAGGGCUUUAGCUCAGCGGCUUCACGUGAGACGUAUCCUCGGCAUCAGCAGAUGUGUAUUCGGACAUCUUUUUUUAUUUUUUUGUCUUUUUUUCUCCUUAAAUUUCCUCUCCCUCUCUCUCUAAUGGGAAUAACUCACCCAUCUCGUAGAGAUCAAAAGCAACGGAAGGCACGCCGGAGUCCGCGAGCUUUACAAAUCUCAUUUCACCGUUUUUUAACCUAAAUAAGAGUGGAUCCAAUCUUCCGUACACCUGGGAAUCUUUCCUUGUUCAAACACCGAGCCCUGCAGCCUUGGCUAAAGCCUACAGCCAGAGAAUACAGAGCGCCGAGCCAAAAGCCAGUGAUGUCACCCAUGCAACGUGAGACUCAUUUCUUAUUUCUCUGGCCUCCUUAAAGAUAAACUGCACCGCUUGGCAGACAGGAAAUGUCGAAGCCUUACUUUCUUACAAGGGGAGAAUGUAAAACCUGGAUUGAAGCGGCUCCCGCUCAUACUCGGUCACGAGACCUUACGCUGUGUCACCCACACCCGAGACAACAGCGGCUGCUUCCGACUGCGCCAAAGAACCCCACCUCCUCUGUAAGUCGAAGCGUGAGCCCACCCUGCAUUCGAGACCUGGAUUCUGCGUGAUCCAGAAAGCCGAGGCCUCCAGACCCCGAAUGGUGCUGUACAGCAAGGAAACAAGCACGGUCGUUUCCCUUGCAUCCGAAGCUCUGUGCCCUGGCGCACCCUGCUCUGUAAGCAGGGUCCCACUGCACGCAGUGUUUGGCUCCCAAAGGCUCCACAGCACAUAACACAGCAAACAGCGCGGUCACUCCUACUGCACCAGGAAGCCCACAGCCCCGAACCUCUCCGGGACUGAGCACUGCAAAAGCCUACAUCAAAAAAUAAGGCAGCACAUCUCCUUGCACCUCAGCCGCAAAGUGGGAUUUCCAGCCACGUAAGGGCAUCCCUCCCACUAAACCACGUUUCUUUUCAAGUGUGCCAUAUUGCCAAAGCCCCUAACGAGAUUGAGAAGCUCACACCGGGCAGUCCAAGGCAGAGAUGCAGUGAUGAGUGCAUCUGCUAGAACAGCUCAAUUGCAAAAUUUCAGUGUUGUGUUAUGAAUAUUAACUGUGCCUGGAAAGCUCCAGAUGAAGACGAUCGUUUUGUUGAGACAAGGCACCGGUUUACGUAUGUUUAGCAGUUACUGCCCUUUGUGGUUCAUAACGAAGGUACAUUUCUAGGGGCCUAAGUCUUAAAAAAUGAAAUAAAACAAAAUAAGACAGCUCAGCUCGUGUGGAUCACCUUCUACAACAGGAUUUUUCAAGCAACCGCCUGCCAAUACGUAAAGCAAUUAAGUUUUAUAAUGAGCUUGGAGCAGCCACACUUGGCUUCUGUUGGGGGAAAAGAUGUAGAGCUACGCGGUCAGAAAGCUGCAGGAUCCUAUAAGCAGAUGGCCAACAGGUUUCUUGUAUGGCACCCAUACAGGGAUGAGAGUGUGCCUGGAUUUCUUUGUCAGUUCCCAGCAUCAGGACCCAAGCUGGUGGUUGACAGUAGAGACUAAUCCUGAUUUUACCAAACAUUUUUGGCUGAUGGAAUGGUUGGAUUUUAGAUUCAAGAAUCCAUCAUCCUCUAGGAAGCAGGAACCAGGUCCUGGUUUGGUGGUUUAAAGGUUCUCUUGCUGCACUGUGCGGCGGGAUUUAGAGUAGGUUUUAUCUGUUUCUCUGAAAAGGCAUUUCAGCAGCAGUCUCCAUGCAUUUUUAUUUUUCUGCCUGUAUUUGUAGCUUGAUCAGAUGGCAAGCUACAUCCCCCUGCAAGUCACCUUAAAUACACAAAUGUAGGAGAAAGUGUUGCACUUCAGGCGAGCUCCACUUCAACUCUUAGGAUUGAACACUUUUCUCCCCC
ensembl:lncRNA